rnacentral:rRNA from 1 species
AACUGGCGGCGGCCUAACACAUGCAAGUCGAACGGAUCCUUCGGGAUUAGUGGCAGACGGGUGAGUAACGCGUGGGAAGCUACCUUGUGGUAGGGAACAACAGUUGGAAACGACUGCUAAUACCCUAUGAGCCCUAUGGGGGAAAGAUUUAUCGCCAUGAGAUGUGCCCGCGUUAGAUUAGCUAGUUGGUAAGGUAAUGGCUUACCAAGGCGACGAUCUAUAGCUGGUCUGAGAGGAUGAUCAGCCACACUGGGACUGAGACACGGCCCAGACUCCUACGGGAGGCAGCAGUGGGGAAUAUUGGACAAUGGGGGCAACCCUGAUCCAGCCAUGCCGCGUGAGUGAUGACGGCCUUAGGGUUGUAAAGCUCUUUCAGCAGUGAAGAUAAUGACAUUAACUGCAGAAGAAGCCCCGGCUAACUUCGUGCCAGCAGCCGCGGUAAUACGAAGGGGGCUAGCGUUGUUCGGAAUCACUGGGCGUAAAGCGUACGUAGGCGGACUGAUCAGUCAGGGGUGAAAUCCCGGGGCUCAACCCCGGAACUGCCUUUGAUACUGUCAGUCUUGA